rnacentral:lncRNA from 1 species
CCUCAAGGGUAGUUGCAGGUGCAUUCACUUGACCUCUACGAAGGAUGAACAUUUCCCAUGAGUUUUCCACUUGUGUUUCAUCCUUGCCUUUGCUUCAGUUUCCUGUGAGACAAAUUGGAGUUUGACAUCCCUCCUCAAGAUGCCUCCUCCAAGACCAGAGUUCCCUGUGGCUGAGCUGUGUGUGCAGAGAGCACCUUUCUCUCUCCUUGGGAAGCCCUUUGAAUGUAGAAACUCUGCAUUCCUCAUUCCUGUGCCCUCCCUCUCCCCAGUGGCUAGGACUUAACACCAAAGGGUGCUCAGGAAACAAAUGGAAGCAGGGCACUAACCAACUCCAGGAGGACUGGGAGCAUGUUUCCCGCUGAAUCCCUGCCAUCUUGACCACUGCCUGGCAAGAGAAGACACUCUACCAACAUUUUUUUAGUGCUGCAUCCCUUGGAGGGCAUGAGGCAAGGCCACGUGAGACACAGUCGGUGCUAGAUUCCUGGAGGCAGAGCUGAGGGUAGGUCUUGAAACCAGCGAGGGUAGCAAGCAGAGGAAGAUGACGAUCCAUUCCUCUUCUGAUCUUCACUAUAAGGGGCACCAAGCCCUGGGUCAUGACAAGGUCUUAUAUUUAGCAUGGACUUGCAACCAGUAAGUGCUGUCCCUUGCUAGCUCUGUGACCCUCUCAUGUGACUUUAACCUCUCUUGAGUCUCAGCUUCACCAUCUUUCGAAUGGGGAUAACACGUAACAUAUCUCAUGAGGAUGAAAUGAUGAACGAACAGGGCCGUUCCCCUGCCUGGACACUCUUCUCUAGAGUGUCUGCAUGUCUCUCUCCCUCACUUGGGUGCAUGGACGCCUACUGUCCAUUGCCCUCCUCUGUCUGCCUCUGGCAAAUGCUUUGUGCUGGGGGUUGGUGGAUAUGAAGGUCAAAUGUCACCAUCUUCCUAGGCCUUUCCAGAAUGCCCUCUUGCCUGCUCUCUCCUUGACAUGCUCCACGUUUCUCCCAUAGCACCUGACACCCUCCAACACUCUGUGUUAACUCACAUAUUUUUGUUUGUUUGUUUCUCACCCUCUGUCUCUCCUUAUUAGAAGGUAAGCUCCACGAGGGCAAGGAUUUAUGGCCUUUUUCUUCCAUGGAUGACUCUGAAACGCCUAGAACAGUACCUGGCACACAGUAGGUGCUCCACUAAUGCUGAAUGAAUGAUGCAUGUGGAAGGCUGAGUCUGGUUCCCACAACACAGU